rnacentral:rRNA from 1 species
AACGAACGCUGGCGGCAUGCCUAACACAUGCAAGUCGAACGAGACCUUCGGGUCUAGUGUCGCACGGGUGCGUAACGCGUGGGAACCGACCCUUAGGGUCGGAAUAACUCCCCGAAAGGGGUGCUAAUACCGGAUAAUAUCUUCGGACCAAAGAUUUAUCGCCUUUGGAUGUGCCCGCGUUGGAUUAGCUAGUUGGUAGGGUAAAAGCCUACCAAGGCGACGAUCCAUAGCUGGUCUGAGAGGAUGAUCAGCCACACUGGGACUGAGACACGGCCCAGACUCCUCCGGGAGGCAGCAGUGGGGAAUAUUGGACCAUGGGCGAAAGCCUGAUCCAGCAAUGCCGCGUGAGUGAUGAAGGCCUUAGGGUUGUAAAGCUCUUUUACCCGGGAUGAUAAUGACAGUACCGGGAGAAUAAGCCCCGGCUAACUCCGUG